rnacentral:rRNA from 1 species
UACGUAGGCAGCAAGCGUUGUUCGGAAUUACUGGGCGUAAAGAGUGUGUAGGCGGUGCUCUAAGUUCGGUGUGAAAUCUCCCGGCUCAACUGGGAGGGUGCGCCGAAAACUGGAGUGCUGGAGCGCGGGAGAGGAAAGCGGAAUUCCUGGUGUAAGCGGUGAAAUGCGUAGAUAUCAGGAGGAACACCGGCGGUGUAGACGGCUUCGUGGACCGUAGCUGACGCUGAGACACGAAAGCGUGGGUAGCAAACAGG